rnacentral:rRNA from 1 species
UACGUAGGGUGCGAGCGUUGUCCGGAAUUAUUGGGCGUAAAGGGCUCGUAGGCGGUUUGUCGCGUCGGGAGUGAAAUCCACUGGCUUAACUGGUGGCUUGCUUUCGAUACGGGCAGACUGGAGGUAUGCAGGGGAGAACGGAAUUCCUGGUGUAGCGGUGAAAUGCGUUGAUAUCCAACGGAACUCCGGUGGCGAAGGCGAGGUGCUGGACCCUUUCUGACGCUGAGGCGCGAAAGCCAGGGGAGCGAACGGG